CAGUCGCCACGGGAAUACGAAGGGUGCAAGCGUUACUCGGAAUUACUGGGCGUAAAGCGUGCGUAGGUGGUGGUUUAAGUCCGUUGUGAAAGCCCUGGGCUCAACCUGGGAAUUGCAGUGGAUACUGGGUCACUAGAGUGUGGUAGAGGAUAGUGGAAUUUCCGGUGUAGCAGUGAAAUGCGUAGAGAUCUGGAGGAAUACCGAUGGCGAAGGCAGCCAUCUGGCCUAAUACUGACGCUGAGGUACGAAAGCAUGGGGAGCAAACAGGAUUAGAUACCCCGGUAGUCCCUGUCUCUUAUAC
rnacentral:rRNA from 1 species